AAAGAGCCGUUAAAGACUAUGACGUUGAUAGGCUGGGUGUGUAAGUGCGGUAACGUAUUGAGCUAACCAGUACUAAUUGCUCGUGAGGCUUAACUAUAUAACGCCCAAG
rnacentral:rRNA from 1 species